rnacentral:rRNA from 1 species
UACGGGGGGAGCAAGCGUUGUUCGGAUUUAUUGGGCGUAAAGAGCGUGUAGGCGGCCAGACAGGUCCGUUGUGAAAACUCGAGGCUCAACCUCGAGACGCCGAUGGAAACCGUCUGGCUAGAGUCCGGAAGAGGAGAGUGGAAUUCCCGGUGUAGCGGUGAAAUGCGCAGAUAUCGGGAAGAACACCCGUGGCGAAGGCGGCUCUCUGGGACGGUACUGACGCUGAGACGCGAAAGCGUGGGGAGCGAACAGG